CGCUUACAGUUGUUUGUUUACCUUUUAUUAAUCAUAUUUAUUGCUCUGUAUAAUAAUUCUAUCAUUAAGUAAAUAUAAUAUAAGGAUAUAUAUGUUAAGAGAUAUACAGUAUUUAGGGAACUAUGAACCUACGUGCCAGUAACUUACAGCUGACUUGGACGCUUUACUCACCAGCUGCUGCUCCUACAGUGAUUAGAGAGUCUCACCUGAAGUAUUUACUAUAAAUUGCAUAAAGUGGAGAACAUAAUGUCAGGUGUAUAGCAUAACGGGAUAGGUGAGAGUUGAUUAUUUUUUACGAUGGUAGGACAGACGCAUUAUAUAUUUUGCUUCUCGUGGUGCCUUAUAAUAUUUUCUCUUGCAGGAUAAUCUACAUUGAGUGACUUAGUUAUAGUUGAAUGUUUUAGAUAAGGAGACGAUAAGUAGACAAGCGACAACGGCAAAUAAAAUUGAAUCGAAAAGGAACGUCAGAAAACGCAGUUCAUGUUUAGUAAUUUGGGGACAAGUAUAAUGAACGCACCUUAAACUGCUGUGUCGCUUGUCUUGGUCUCGCCCGGAGCUCCUCACGUGAUCUUAUAGUGAGUGACCUGUGGGAGUGUUGGGGUGAUACUGUCAACAUAACCCAUGUGCUACCUCUCCACCCUUCUGGGUAUGUCAGGAGAAACCAUGAAGAAAAAAAUUGAUGCAGAAUUUAGCUCACCUGACAACAUUGCCGCUUGUUUGACCUGACACCAUUAGUCUCACGUUACUUAAGACUUUCUCUGGCUGACUUUUAUAAAACAAACGUCAGUUGCUUCUCCGUACUAAGAUAUAACAAAACAAUAAGUCAGCAGUUCAUAUAUUGCUUCCAGUGAAAAAAAAUAUUACUUCACUGUUGUUGGUAGUGUAGUGACCGCUACCAAGUCCACCUGCCUUGUUCACGUGACCGUGUAUUGGGGAGUCAUUAAAUACAGGUUGUGUCACAGUCCAGUACAGUAGACAUAGUGGAGCUGUGAGCCAUUAAACAGGUUGUCUCACAGGCCAGUACAGUAGACAUAGUGGAGCUGUGAGCCAUUAAACACAGGUUGUGUCACAGGCCAGUACAGUAGACAUAGUGGAGCUGUGGAGCCAUUAAACACAGGUU